UCCGGUUUGUCACCGGCAGUCUGGCGUGAGUCCCCAACUUAAUGCUGGCAACACGCCACGGGGGUUGCGCUCGUUGCGGGACUUAACCCAACAUCUCACGACACGAGCUGACGACAGCCAUGCAGCACCUGUGGUGCACCCUCGAAGGUCACACGUUUCCGUGCGCUUGCAGCACCAUGUCAAGCCCAGGUAAGGUGGGGAUGACGUGUGCGUAACAGAA
rnacentral:misc_RNA from 1 species